UAGGGAAUAUUGGUUAAUGGGCGAAAGCCUGACCCAGCAACGCCGCGUGAACGAUGAAGGCCUUCGGGUUGUAAAGUUCUUUUGGCAGGGAUGAGGAAGGACAGUACCUGUCGAAUAAGUCUCGGCUAACUACGUGCCAGCAGCCGCGGUAACACGUAGGAGACGAGCGUUAUCCGGAUUUACUGGGUGUAAAGCGCGUGUAGGCGGAUUAGUAAGUUGGAUGUGAAAGCUCCCGGCUUAACUGGGAGAGGUCGUUCAAGACUGCUAGUCUAGAGGACAGUAGAGGGGAGCGGAAUUCCGAGUGUAGCGGUAAAAUGCAUAGAUAUUCGGAAGAACACCAGUGGCGAAGGCGGCUCUCUGGACUGUAACUGACGCUCAGACGCGAAAGCUAGGGUAGCAAACGGG
rnacentral:rRNA from 1 species